GACGAACGCUGGCGGCGCGCCUAACACAUGCAAGUCGAACGAGCGAGCGAGAGCUUGCUUUCUCAAGCGAGUGGCGAACGGGUGAGUAACGCGUGAGGAACCUGCCUCAAAGAGGGGGACAACAGUUGGAAACGACUGCUAAUACCGCAUAAGCCCACAGGUCGGCAUCGACCAGAGGGAAAAGGAGCAAUCCGCUUUGAGAUGGCCUCGCGUCCGAUUAGCUAGUUGGUGAGGUAACGGCCCACCAAGGCAACGAUCGGUAGCCGGACUGAGAGGUUGAACGGCCACACUGGGACUGAGACACGGCCCAGACUCCUACGGGAGGCAGCAGUGGGGAAUAUUGCACAAUGGGGGAAACCCUGAUGCAGCGACGCCGCGUGGAGGAAGAAGGUCUUCGGAUUGUAAACUCCUGUUGUUGAGGAAGAUAAUGACGGUACUCAACAAGGAAGUGACGGCUAACUACGUG
rnacentral:rRNA from 1 species